CCUACGGGGUGCAGCAGUGAGGAAUAUUGGUCAAUGGGCGCGAGCCUGAACCAGCCAAGUAGCGUGAAGGAUGACUGCCCUACGGGUUGUAAACUUCUUUUAUAAAGGAAUAAAGUGAGGCACGUGUGCCUUUUUGUAUGUACUUUAUGAAUAAGGAUCGGCUAAUUCCGUGCCAGCAGCCGCGGUAAUCCGGAGGAUCCGAGCGUUAUGCGGAUUUAUUGGGUUUGAAGGUAGCUUAGUUGGGUUGUUACGUCAGUUGUACACGUUUGCGGCUAAACCGUAAAAUUGCAAUUGAUACUGGCAGCCUUGAGUACAGUUGAGGUAGGCGGAAUUCGUGGUGUAGCGGUGAAAUGCUUAGAUAUCACGAAGAACUCCGAUUGCGAAGGCAGCUUACUAAACUGCCACUGACAUUGAUGCUCGAAAGUGUGGGUAUCAAACAGGAUUAGAUACCCUGGUAGUC
rnacentral:rRNA from 1 species